CCCCCCUCAAGAUGAGAUUUCCCAUUGCGCAAGCAAGUAAGAUCCCUCAAAGACGAUGAGGUAGAUAGGUUCGAGGUGGAAGCGUGGCGACACGUGCAGCUGACGAAUACUAAUCGAUCGAGGACUUAACCAAUU
rnacentral:rRNA from 1 species